rnacentral:miRNA from 1 species
GCUGGUAAAAUGGAACCAAAUC